UUCACGUACAGCUUUGCUCUACCUUCAUUUCCAUACGUUGUCUUGGCGUGGUGGUUAGGAAGAAGAAAAUUUCUAGCUUUGCCUUCUUAAGACUUGGAGUUUAAACAUCAGUGUGCGCGCGCCCGCGCUCGUGUGCAUGACUAUCGGAUUGUACCGUAACUCAGGCGGUUAGUCGCCGACUACUCGCUGUGGAGGACCGGGUUCGCACCAGUUCAGUUGAUGUGGGAUUCUUUGUGGACAAAGUACCAGCGACACAGUUUUCUCUUCGAGUCCUUUGGUUUACCUGUCAAUAUAAUUCUGAUGCUGCGCUGCAUUCAUCCAUGUACCAUGUGGGAGAUGACCGAACUCUACAGAGACGUAAUCUCAUCCCAUUGCAACAAUAAAAUUGGAUAUUGUAAAAUUCCUCACUUCGUUCAGGGACACCGGCUCUCAUAGGGCUUGAAGCGGUCAAGGCUCGAAGUGAGUGUCUGUCUUCAGGCCACGUGCGCAGCAGAUAACAGUUUCCAACGAAGGUGAUCAAGUUAGCUGAGGACGAGGGCCAAGAACUCUCAGUGUUCAUUUUCGGUCGGACAUAGGAAAACAAAUAUUAUUGUGGUGCCGGGUUUUACUAUAAUUUACUUGAGCAAUAAAAUUAAACCCGUGAAACAUUUAUGUGAUUAAAGCAGAGACGUCAGUGCCAAAAUCGAGCUCGUGAAACUUCUCCGGUUCUGUCUUCUGAGUUGAUGCGCCGAGUAGUCUGGUAGAAGUCUGCCGACAUUCAGAGGUCAUUAGGGCGCCUGGCAGAAGUUUAAGUUCACCGACGCUAGUAAACUAUCAAACUACACAGCCCAGAAAGUAACUAUCUUCAUACUCGACGCCAUAAGAACCCGAAAUCUCACUUUCCAUUAUCAUGUUUUGCUCUGUCCUGCGCAGUGAACCAAAACUUACACGAGUAAGUUUUAACGUAAACUGCGCAGAUAAAUUUUUAGUUCCUAACAUAUUUCUUUCCCCCUCCCUUCUUGCAGACAAGAUGCGUGUGUCGUUACGUCACCAAACUUACAUAUUUCACAUAGUUGCAAUGUCGUAAUUUCUCUUUGCUUAAAAAAAUUAGUACUAAUGAAUGCUUAAAAUGUUAACAUGUUACAUGGUGAAUGGCGUUAUUGUCACUUCCAAUUCUAACCCUGGCACCGUUAAAAAGAUUUACU